UUGGUGUUUUUCCUUUAAGUUUUGAGCGAUAAAAAUCCCAUGUUAUUAUUGGUCUGCAUUUUGAAAGAUCCUUGAGUUGUAGUUGACGAUUGGUCAAUAGUUUUGGCCGAACGAUCGAGAAGAAAUGCAUCGUUUGGACGCGAGAGAGACGUGACGAUGUAAAGUGAGUUCUAAAAGUACAUCACUUCAGUAAACAUCUUUUUGUUAGAACUCAACCAACAGACUCGUAGAAAGUCGCACUUUGCCGGCAAAAUGGUUUUCUUCUUAUAGUAAAAGAACUAAUGGAUUUCUAACAUGUCAAGGAAUAUAAUGACAAUAGUUUCACGGCAUUUUAAUGGAUAUAUUAUUGUGAAACAGUUCUAUUGUUAUGCAGUUUGAUUUGCCGGUAAAAGAAGUGCGUGGUUUCCUGGUUCCUGUCCUUUAUGUAGCUGUUGCUAUUUUUAUGAUGUUUUGAUUUGUUCAUGUUCCAGUAAGAAAUGCCCAGAUGAUAUUAUUUGGUAUCGAUUUUAUCCAGUUUUGUAAUGAUUUGAAUAUCUUCCCCUCCCAGCCCCGUCUGAAUGGAAAAUUUUGAAGUUCCAAGUGUUGUGACAUGGAUUUUUGUUUUAACAAGUUUUAGAACAGAAGAAAAUAUAAUGGCAUAGAAGCCAAAUGAUGAUAAUUUGUAGCCCACUAUAACCCCAAUGAGGAAUCUACGAUGAAUGUCCCCCAGUUGCUUUCCAGUAAGUACUCGAUAUGAGAAUUUGAGGAUUUUUCAAACGGCGUCCCAAUUUGUUUAAAUAGUAGGAAAGUCCUCAAGUCUGUGUAAGUAUCCUUUGCUUAUUUGGUUAUGUAGUUUAGUCUUCUUUAAACCCUCCUACCCCUCCCAACGAAUCUACGACCUGCCACCGCACAAAAAAUGAGCUGCCGUUCGCAUGAAGGUUUGCGUGUCUGUUCCUUCUACUAGCCCCAUUUCGACUCCCCAGUAUCUCUAUAGAUAGUCUUUCCUUGAUCCCAUUAGAGCAGACAGGUAAAACGCUUCAACUUGCGCCCAACGUGUGAGGCUUAAAACGCAUCAAAUGGCCCCCAAUGUGUGAGGCCGAUUCAAUUUUCUGCCUCCUUCAGUAUCCAGUUGUUGUCUUGUCCAGUUGAAUGCUUCAAAUGGCCCCGACAACGUGGGUCGUGUUAUUUCUAGCCCCCCUGACCCCAUUAGCAUGUGCCCACUACCAUGUCCUUUUAGCCUCCUUUCGGUCUCAUUUGUACUACAACUGUUAGGCAGUGCCCGUCCCUUGGGCAGCCGAUCUCAGUUUGUGGUGCAGGUGUUUCCGACAACAUGGAAGCUCGACUCUUGUCAUUUUUUGUAUGCCCAUUGUUACAAGUCUAGCUUGUAGACAUGUUCAACUAGUAGUUAGCCUAUCUACUAGUCCCCAAUGUCUUUAGCCACUCCCACUUAGUGUUACACUUGUAAUACUUGUAUCGUACACCCUGAAGUUUGACCCGAGUAAAUAUCGCCCCAGUCUUCCCAUGUAGUUUAGCCCAGAUUCCUCUUGUCUUGCCCCCAGAAACUGUUUCAUGUCUUUUAGUGCCCCCGAAACUGUUUCAGUCUGUUAGUCCCCAUGAAAGAGCCCAUUUUUGUAGUUUUUGUUGCAGAAUGUUGAUAAUUUUUCCAUAAGAGGUGCAAGUAUGUACACUUUGUAUUGUGGUGUUGAUUUGGUCGUGCUGCUGAUUGUAUAGGCAUGUACCAUUUCAUACAUCAUAGUGUAUUUACAUUGUAACCCCAUUUUAUGUAAACUGUAGUAUACUGGUAUUGUAUUUUAUGUAUCAUACAACAGAAUAGUAUGUUAAAUAUUGUGACGUACUUACUAUGUUGUAUUGAUAUUGUACCCAUGAUGAAAGCAUUGGUUAAAUUUUUUAGAAAAUAUUGAUGAAUUAUAUAGACAUAGACAAACAGAUGAGUAAAAAAUAAAGUAUAAAAUUUUUUUAGAAAAAUUUUUGGUAAAAUGUAACGUUAAAUUUUUUUGAAAAUUUUGGUAAAAGUUACGAUUAAAAUGUUUUUAAUAUUGAAUCCACUUAUAGAGUAUAACAAUAUGUUAUAUUUUUUUGCAUGUAUUCUUGUAGAUCAUCAGUUUUUUACAGAAUAAACGUUUUUUGUGAUUAUUGAUUUGGUCGUUUGAGUAGAUGUGUGAUAAUAGUUGGUAUGGUCCGUGUAUGAGCUAAUUCGGUAUGGUCUGUGUGAGUAAGUUCCGUGAUUUUCCAGCGAAGCCUAUCUAUAUUUGGGUAUAUUAUUGCCACAGGUUAGUUGGAGAAGUCAUCCUUGAAGAAGUAACCCCAUGAAGAAGUGAAGAGGGAAACCGUGGCGAGGCCCCUCCACUUAUUAAUGAAGAAGUAGACCCCUUGUUUUUUCAAGCAGCCAGGAGAAAAGCUAUCACUUUUUGAUUUGAAGAUAGCGUACUCUGUCGACACUGUUUUGAAAAUAACCCUUGAUAUAUGGAUUUGUUCAUGUUAGAAGUAAAAAAAAAGUUACCCCAUGAAAAAGUGAAGAGGGAAACCGUGGCGAGGCCCCUCCACUUAUUGAUUAAAAAUGAUGUAUGUUUUCUUGUAUCUGGCAUAUCACAAGUGCAAUACUCGUGAUGAGGAAGUGUUGUUCAGUUGUCUGGGAAUACUCCCAUUAAUAGUCGGAGCAAGAACGGUUUGAUUUGUGUAAGCUCAUAUAAGAACCAAAUUUCAAUAUUUAUUUGUGUUUGUAAGCCCAUGUAUAUGGAGUAUGACUAAGAACCAAGUUUCGAUAUUAUUUGUGUUUGUAAGCCCAUGUAUAUGAAGUAUGGAGAAUGUAUAAAUGCCCUAUGAGUCUUUUGUUCCCUGUUUGUUUGUCUAUCCCUUUUUUGUCUGGAAAUUCUAGAGUCUGUUAUCCCGUAAUGUCUGUUAGCCCAUGUCCCUGAUGGAGUUUGAUUUUUUUUGGCGAAUAGUUCGUUGACCUCUCUUGUGUUUGUUUAUUGAAAGUAGGCUAAGAGCAGAAGCUGUGACAAGGCUGGUGAGCUUAGGAUCUGGCCGCGUUGAGUACAGGUGAAGCUUGCUUUCGGUGGAUAAAUGGAAGUGGUCGUUCGUCGGAAUUGUCAUUCUUUCCAAUGUCCCUUUGGUCUUUCCCUUGUGUGUUUGCUUUCAUCCCUGUUUUGAAAAAGUAGUCUAACCCCAGUUUGGAAGAGUGAAGUCUACUCAUGUUUUGGAAGAAUAAAGUCUACCCAUUGUUUUGGAAAAGUAAGAUCUACUCAUGUUUUGGAAAAGUAAGAUCAUAUCCCCGGUUUUGAAAAAUAAAGAAUAUCCCAGUUUGUGAUUUGAAAAUGAGAAAGUUGUCUUGUGAACUUUCAUGAAAGGCUUUUAUGUCCUAGGUAGGACUGUUGAUUGAAAACGUAAUGAUGUAGUAUUUCCUAUGUCAUGUGUUACGUUCAUUUUUUUUGGUCUUGAUUAAAUAGUUUGAUAUCCUGUUUGAACCCAGUAUACUAGUCUUUUCGGUCUUUUGUUGUUGUCACACGUAUCCCCCCUCCCCCCUUGUUAAUAUUGUCUUGAUUUUAGUCCUUGUUGUUGUCAUAUACCCCUUAGUCUAGCCCUGUCUUAUUUGAAUGAGUUGUUGAGGUAAGUUGUUCAUGAGAUUUUGUCUCACUGAGGUGUUUAGACUGGAUUGUCUAAAUCCUCGUUUUGCAGAACCGUUGCCGAAAUGUCCCGUGAAACUCGCUAGGUGUUAGCAGAGUUUGGGCAGAUGUUUAUCUGUCAAACAUCAACUUUUUAGUUUUUGUGAACCGCUCGCGGUUAGGCAACGAGGUGACAAGGCUGUGUCUGCCCUGGUAUGUCACUUGUGUUACUGCUGUGGAUGUCAGCGAGGUCCACACAGGGCACAAGAUUAUUUCUUUCCCAAGACACAGAAACUCUUAUCACCUACAGUUCUUAUUAGAGUCUUAACAUUUAAGUCUACUCGACUUUAAAGAGUCUGGCGAUUGAUGGCACGCUAGCCCAUUCCCUAAUGAUGUUUUGUUUUUGUUUAAUCCCCAUUAGCCAUUAUUUAAAUAUUUUGGUAUUGUUGUCCUGUCACACCCAAGAAGUCAAUGUUGGAUUUUUGUAGUUAUCGAAAACUGAAUUGGUAAUCCAGUUUCCUCUCUUCCGAGGAGGCUAUUGUAGCAGAUGGAUUUCUACUACAAUAUUUUAUAAAAAAUAUCCAUUAAUUUUAAUCCUAUCCCAAGAAAAAUAUUAAUUUUUCUAAUAUAUUUUGCGAGUUUAUAUAUCUUUAAAAUUUCCAAGCCGCUCCUGUUCGCAUUGUAAAGGUUAGGAAAUUUCCUAUUUAUUUGUGUAGCAAUAACCAACUACGUAGAUUGUUAUUGAAAACAUCCAUUAUUCGAGAAUGAAUCCUCUAAAAGGUUCAGUGUUUUUCCUUUAAGUUUUGAGCGCUAAAUUUGAGUAGCAUUUACCAACUACGUAGAUAGUUAUUGUGAAAUCAUUCAUUAUUCGAGAAUGAAUCCUCUAAAAGGUUUGGUGUUUUUCCUUUAAGUUUUGAGCGAUAAAAAUCCCAUGUUAUUAUUGGUCUGCAUUUUGAAAGAUCCUUGAGUUGUAGUUGACGAUUGGUCAAUAGUUUUGGCCGAACGAUCGAGAAGAAAUGCAUCGUUUGGACGCGAGAGAGACGUGACGAUGUAAAGUGAGUUCUAAAAGUACAUCACUUCAGUAAACAUCUUUUUGUUAGAACUCAACCAACAGACUCGUAGAAAGUCGCACUUUGCCGGCAAAAUGGUUUUCUUCUUAUAGUAAAAGAACUAAUGGAUUUCUAACAUGUCAAGGAAUAUAAUGACAAUAGUUUCACGGCAUUUUAAUGGAUAUAUUAUUGUGAAACAGUUCUAUUGUUAUGCAGUUUGAUUUGCCGGUAAAAGAAGUGCGUGGUUUCCUGGUUCCUGUCCUUUAUGUAGCUGUUGCUAUUUUUAUGAUGUUUUGAUUUGUUCAUGUUCCAGUAAGAAAUGCCCAGAUGAUAUUAUUUGGUAUCGAUUUUAUCCAGUUUUGUAAUGAUUUGAAUAUCUUCCCCUCCCAGCCCCGUCUGAAUGGAAAAUUUUGAAGUUCCAAGUGUUGUGACAUGGAUUUUUGUUUUAACAAGUUUUAGAACAGAAGAAAAUAUAAUGGCAUAGAAGCCAAAUGAUGAUAAUUUGUAGCCCACUAUAACCCCAAUGAGGAAUCUACGAUGAAUGUCCCCCAGUUGCUUUCCAGUAAGUACUCGAUAUGAGAAUUUGAGGAUUUUUCAAACGGCGUCCCAAUUUGUUUAAAUAGUAGGAAAGUCCUCAAGUCUGUGUAAGUAUCCUUUGCUUAUUUGGUUAUGUAGUUUAGUCUUCUUUAAACCCUCCUACCCCUCCCAACGAAUCUACGACCUGCCACCGCACAAAAAAUGAGCUGCCGUUCGCAUGAAGGUUUGCGUGUCUGUUCCUUCUACUAGCCCCAUUUCGACUCCCCAGUAUCUCUAUAGAUAGUCUUUCCUUGAUCCCAUUAGAGCAGACAGGUAAAACGC
rnacentral:lncRNA from 1 species